CGACUCGAGGGGCGGGGGAGCCGGGAGUGAAAGGCAACCAGGUAUGUGGAUCUUAGCUCCCUGACUGGAGAUUGAACUUGUACCACCUGCAUUGGAAGGGGAAGUCCUAACUCCUGGACCACCGGGGACGUCCUGCCUCAUCUCUCUUAAGAUGAUUGGCUUAAAGCAGCUUAUGUGAUACGCAGAUCCAGGCAGACGACGAGAUUCCCCGGAGCUGAGUGAGCCGGGUCCUCCUGUGUCCUAUCUCCACAGGGGCAGGGUCGCAUGAUGUCGGGCAGGACAGACCGUCUGGAAGUCUCACCGACUGCCUUUUGCCUCUUGGUCCCUGAGCAUGUUUAUUUUCGCACCAUUCUGCCCUCUCUUGGUUGUCUUGUUGUGGGUGAGCUCCCCCAGGCUGCAGUGACCAGGCGCCACGAGAGGCUUAAGACAACGGAGUACGUUGCUUCAUAGUCUGGAGGCCAGACCUGCAGGGCCGUGUUCCCCGAGGUGCCAGGGAGGGGAGUCUCCCAGCCGUCUGCUCAGCCUCCGGCAUUGUGUCUUAUGGUCUGUGGAUGCUUCACACCUGGCCAUCUCCUCCGUGCACAUCUGUGUGUCUCUCCUCUUAGAGCGACGCCAGUCUCUGGCUUAGGGCUUACCCCCUGCCAGUGUGGCCUCGUCUUCCCUAAUUCCACCUGCAGAGAACCUAACUCCCCCUAAGGCCCCGUUCACAGGUAUUGGGCUGGUCUUGUUGCUGUUCAGUCGCUCAGUCGUGUCCGACUCUUUGUGACCCCAUGGAAGGCAGCACGCCAGGCCUCCCUGUCCAUCACCAUCUCCUGGACUUUGCUCAGACUCAUGUCCAUGGAGUCAGCGAUGCCCUCCAACCAUCUCGUCCUCUGUCGCCCGCUUCUCCUCUUGGACGUGACUUUUUGGCCCCCGCCGAGCCCACCAAAGUUGGAUUAAGUGUUGGGUCUUCAGCGAGAGGCCAGAUUGUCUCCGCCCCGCAGAAGCCGCGUCGCAGACGGCAGACGGUAUCGCGCCAGCUCCCCAUGUGCGCACAUGCGAUUGCAAAUCUCGAUGGAGCUGCUGUCACAGACAGGCUGAUUCCAGGUUUCUUGCUCUCCCGCGUUUCCGUCUGCCGCCCUUGGGUCUUGCAUGCCAUCCUUGCCAGAUCCACGGUCAGCCCUUGACUGGGCCCGGGAACGUCUCCAUCACUUGCCCUCUCUGCUCCACGUCCACCUUUGGGGCCAGCCGCAGCCUCUCGCCUUCCAUGGAGUCUGUCCAUCUCCCCGUAUCUGCAUUGCGACCUGUGGACCCCAGAGCUUGGCGUGUCCCGCCCUCGGCGUCGAGCUGAUGGCCUCUGUGUCGCUGCUUACAGAAUCUUUGCCUUCAGGGGGUGGUUGUUUGCCUUUCGUCACUGUGGAGCUAUUUGUAUCCUCAACACAUUUGCUAAUU